rnacentral:rRNA from 1 species
GACGAACGCUGGCGGCAGGCUUAACACAUGCAAGUCGAACGGGUGUAGCAAUACAUCAGUGGCAGACGGGUGAGUAACACGUGGGAACCUUCCUAGGGGUACGGAACAACUCAGGGAAACUUGAGCUAAUACCGUAUACGUCCGUAAGGAGAAAGAUUCAUCGCCCCUAGACGGGCCCGCGUCGGAUUAGGUAGUUGGUGGGGUAACGGCCUACCAAGCCUACGAUCCGUAGCUGAUCUGAGAGGANGAUCAGCCACACUGGGACUGAGACACGGCCCAGACUCCUACGGGAGGCAGCAGUGGGGAAUAUUGCACAAUGGGCGAAAGCCUGAUGCAGCAAUGCCGCGUGUGUGAAGAAGGCCUGCGGGUUGUAAAGCACUUUCGGUAGGGAAGAUAUGACGGUACCUACAGAAGAAGCACCGGCUAACUCCGUGCCAGC